rnacentral:rRNA from 1 species
CCCCUAGAUGUUCUGGGCCGCACGCGCGCUACACUGAACAGUUCAACAAGUCUUAACCUUGGCCGAUAGGUCUGGGUAAUCUUUGAACGCUGUUCGUGAUUGGGAUAGACCUUUGCAAUUAUGGGUCUUCAACGAGGAAUUCCUAGUAAACGCAAGUCAUCAGCUUGCAUUGAUUACGUCCCUGCCCUUUGUACACACCGCCCGUCGCACCUACCGAUUGAAUGGUCCGGUGAAAUCUCGGGACGGCGGCUUGGUCGCUGGCGUCCGACUGCUGAAACUUGAUUAAACCAUAUCAUUUAGAGGAAGGUGAAGUCGUAACA